GACGAACGCUGGCGGCGUGCCUAACACAUGCAAGUCGAACGGGACUUAAUGGAAAGCGGCUUCGGCCAAUGGAAGUUAAGUUUAGUGGCGGACGGGUGAGUAACGCGUGAGCAACCUGCCUUACAGAGGGGGACAACAGUUGGAAACGACUGCUAAUACCGCAUAACGUAGCGAGGGGACAUCCCCAUGCUACCAAAGGAGCAAUCCGCUGUAAGAUGGGCUCGCGUCCGAUUAGAUAGUUGGUGAGGUAACGGCUCACCAAGUCGACGAUCGGUAGCCGGACUGAGAGGUUGAACGGCCACAUUGGAACUGAGACACGGCCCAGACUCCUACGGGAGGCAGCAGUGGGGGAUAUUGCACAAUGGAGGAAACUCUGGUGCAGCAACGCCGCGUGAGGGAAGAAGGUUUUCGGAUUGCAAACCUCUGUUUUUAGUGAAGAAACAAAUGACGGUAGCUAAAGAGGAAGCCACGGCUAACUACGUGCCAGCAGCCGCAGUAACAC
rnacentral:rRNA from 1 species